rnacentral:tRNA from 1 species
AGGGCGAGGUAAGAGAUAGUCCACUCAUAAUUCGUGGGUCGUGGGUUCAAGUCCCACCCGCCCUACCA